rnacentral:rRNA from 2 species
UGGUAGUGACGAAAAAUAACAAUGCGGGACUCUUCCGAGUCUGCGUAAUUGGAAUGAGCACACUUUAAAUCCUUUAGCAACAACCAAUUGGAGGGCAAGUCUGGUGCCAGCAGCCGCGGUAAUUCCAGCUCCAAUAGCGUAUAUUAAAGUUGUUGCGGUUAAAAAGCUCGUAGUUGGAGGUCAGUUCCGGACUGGGGUGGGAGGUCACCGCCCGGUGCUUCCCCGUCAGGCUCCGAACAGCUUCCGUGAGUGGAAGCCAAGCCGGUUCUGCCGGGGUGCUCUUUACCGAGUGUCCCGCGCGGCCGGCCAGUUCACCUUGAAUAAAUGAGAGUGCUCAAAGCAGGCUACUCUGGAAUACAAUGCCCGAAUGUUACCUGCAUGGAAUGAUGGAAGAUGAUCUCGGUUCCAUUUUGUUGGUGGUGGGAGCCAGAGGUAAUGAUAAAGAGGGACUGUCGGGGGCAUCCGUACUACGACGCGAGAGGUGAAAUUCAGUGACCGUCGUAGGACGAACAACAGCGAAAGCAUUUGCCAAGAAUGUCUUCGUUGAUCAAGAACGAAAGUUAGAGGAUCGAAGGCGAUCAGAUACCGCCCUAGUUCUAACCCUAAACGAUGCUGACUAGCAAUUCGCCGUCGUUAUUCCCAUGACGUGGCGAGACGCCCCCGGGAAACCUCAAGUCUUUGAGUUCCGGGGGUAGUAUGGUUGCAAAAGUGAAACUUAAAGGAAUUGACGGAAGGGCACCACCAGGAGUGGAGCCUGCGGCUUAAUUUGACUCAACACGGGAAAGCUCACCAGGCCCGGACACCAGAAGGAUUGACAGAUUAAGAGCUCUUUCUCGAUUUGGUGGGUGGUGGUGCAUGGCCGUUCUU